CGCUUACCUGGAUUGGGUGCCCGAGCCCGCCCGACUCCCUUUCCCAUUGGUUCCCUGCACUGUACCACUCGGAGACAGGUGGAGCGGAAUUGUACCUAGGAGAAAAGAACAAGAAAUUCAGAGAGAAGGUGCACUUCAGAAAUCGCUGACUUAGCAACUCAGAGCCUGUGGCUUCACUCAAGCACACUGCUCUUUCUUCCUACCUGGAAAUGGAUUGGCAUCUAUUUCCUUUCCUGUAAAGGCUGCUCACAAAUAUUGCGUGUGUACAGCAGUUGAGUACUCGACAUGUGGAAGGCAGCUCCCCCGCCCUCUGAGUGCACGGUGCCUCCCACGCCUCCCAGCUGCGCCCGUUCCCUGCGUCUUCUGAGGAACCACAGCACUGCCAGCUGGGGAGGGCCCCAAGAUCUUGGAAUGCAGUGGGUUUGCUUACACCAGUGUUCCCACGGACACCUGCCUAACGGAUUGUGACUACAACCUUAGGAUGUCUACACAGUUACUAGGGGUGUUGGUUUGAAGGAGGUGUUCCCCGUACACUCGGGCUUGGUUCCCAGUUGGAAGGUGUGGCCUUGAGGAUGGAGGAAAUGUUAUCAGGGUCUGACUGUGCCUUUCCCAGUUCGCUCUGUGUCCUGCUUGCGUUUCAAGGUCUGAGUUCUCCGCUUGCCACUCCAGCCAUCAUGCCUGCCACUUCCUUGCCAUUACAGACACUUAGCCCUCUGGAACCAUAAUAUGAAAUAAACCUUUCUUU